rnacentral:rRNA from 1 species
CCUACGGGUGGCAGCAGUGGGGGAUAUUGGACAAUGGGGGGAACCCUGAUCCAGCGACGCCGCGUGAGUGAAGAAGUAUUUCGGUAUGUAAAGCUCUGUCAGCAGGGAAGAAAGAAAUGACGGUACCUGACCAAGAAGCCCCGGCUAACUACGUGCCAGCAGCCGCGGUAAUACGUAGGAUGCGAGCGUUAUCCGGAUUUAUUGGGUUUAAAGGGUGCGUAGGCGGACGGUCAAGUCAGCGGUAAAAAUGCGGUGCUCAACGCCGUACAGCCGUUGAAACUGGCAGUCUUGAGUGGGCGAGAAGUAUGCGGAAUGCGUGGUGUAGCGGUGAAAUGCAUAGAUAUCACGCAGAACUCCGAUUGCGAAGGCAGCAUACCGGCGCCCUACUGACGCUGAGGCACGAAAGCGUGGGUAUCGAACAGGAUUAGAUACCCUUGUAGUC